rnacentral:misc_RNA from 1 species
GAAAUGCGAUAAGUAAUGUGAAUUGCAGAAUUCAGUGAAUCAUCGAGUCUUUGAACGCACAUUGCGCCCGCCAGCACUCUGGCGGGCAUGCCUGUUCGAGCGUCAUUUCAACCCUCAGAACCCCUUGCGGGAUCUGGCGUUGGGGAUUGGCAUCCAGCCAGCCCCGAAAUCUAGUGGCGGUCCCUCCGCGACCUCCCCUGUGCAGUAGCGAUACCUCGCAGCUGGACAGCGGUCUGACCACGCCGUAAAACCCCCAACUUCUCAAGGUUGACCUCGAAUCAGGUAGGAAUACCCGCUGAACUUAAGC